CCCCCGACUGGAGCAAACAGCCAGCCCUGCUUUUUCUUCUGGUUGUCCCUGCUCAGGAGGGACUCGUAUCAGAAACAGCAGUGUCAUUUCUGCUCGUCAGCCACCCCAGUGAGUGAGUUCUCAUCAGCUCAAGUGACAACAAACGCAGCCGUGUGAGUUAAGCAGCCAUCUCCCACGAAUAGCGGCCAGGGCCAGGUCACAAACUUCCCAGAGCAGGGGACCCGUUUGCGUACAAUCCAAGCAAUUACCAGCAACGAACAGUACUUAGUAAACCCAAACAAAACCAAAAGAACCACUCCUGCUGCCAUCAACGC